rnacentral:misc_RNA from 1 species
GCAGAUAGACAUAGCAUUCUGUAACGCCAGUCUCAAGUGAGGAAGCUGCAGAUUACAGUGAGUGAAAUAGGCUGCCAGUUCCUGCUGGCGAAUAGGAUUGUCUUUCAAUUCCUUCCUCUUAAGCUCCAUCUGCAAACCCAAAACAUACUCUUUCACUAUGACAAUCAAUUCCUUUACUUCAUCCACUUCUCGUCUCGACUCAAUCACAAUCAGAGGAAUGGUGUGAAGGAUGCUCAGGAAUAGUCUAAGUGCAUCAGAAAAUUUUCCACCAGUAGUCGCUUUAUAAGAAGCUUUAAGUUUUUCCUCCAACUGAGCAAAACUGAAUAUAAGAGCAGGUGGACCUCGAACAUUAGGACUAGCUGACUCACUCCAACCUCUCUCAAUUGC